rnacentral:rRNA from 1 species
AGUGAACGCUGGCGGCAGGCCUAACACAUGCAAGUCGAACGGCAGCACGGUAAUAGCUUGCUCUUACGGGGGGCGACUGGCGGGCGGGUGCCGUUGACAUGGGAACCUCCUCUUUAGUGGGCGACAAAUACGGGACACUUACGCUAAUACCGCAUAGGACCUACGGGGGAAAGCACGGGAUCUUCGGACCUUGCGUGAUUGUACGAUCCGUUGCCGGAUUAGCGAGUUGGCGGGGUACCGACCCACCAAUGCGACGCUCUGUAGCUGGUCUGAGAGGAUGACCAGACACACUGGAACUGAGACACGGGCCAGACUCCGACGGGAGGCAGCAGUGGGGAAUAUUGGACGAUGGGCGCAAGCCUGAUCCAGACAUGCCGCGUGGAUGAAGGAGGCCUUCGGGUGGUAAAGCCCUUUUGUUGGGGAUGAAGAGCAGCAUGUUAAUACCCAGCUGUUAUGACGGUACCCAGAGAAUAAGCACCGGCUAACUUCGUG